rnacentral:rRNA from 1 species
UACGUAGGGUGCAAGCGUUAUCCGGAUUCACUGGGUUUAAAGGGUGCGUAGGCGGAUAGGUAAGUCCGUGGUGAAAUCCUGCAGCUUAACUGCAGAACUGCCGUGGAUACUAUCUAUCUUGAAUGUCGUGGAGGUUAGCGGAAUAUGUCAUGUAGCGGUGAAAUGCUUAGAUAUGACAUAGAACACCCAUUGCGAAGGCAGCUAACUACGCGAUAAUUGACGCUGAUGCACGAAAGCGUGGGGAUCAAACAGGA